AUAUAACAUGAUUAACAGUCACAUGGGGACUUUAGUGCAAGUGUAACAAGGAAAGGAGCCUACGUGGGUGACGGAGGAUCGAACUCACUACCUCAUGCUCGCCAGGCAAGCACUAUACACUCACUCUUGGUUGAUUACUGAAGCCCCUGAUCAAUUUCUGAGUUACAGCCUCUCAUCUUGAAGCUCAAACCCAGUUGACAUUCCUAGAGCUAUGUGGCUCUGCCAUCUCGCUGGGCUCAACCAUUUACAGGGAGACACAAGAGCCAACUGAAGGGAGAAGGAGGUAACUUAGCCAGCUCUGCACUUAUCAGCACAUGGAGACAAGGCCUGGUUUCACUAAUGUGGAGCUAAUUGUUCUGCCUUCAAGGACAGCCAUCCAAAUGGUCUUCUACCAUUCUUUUUUAUCCAGAAGUUGAAUGGUGCCAGAUCUGGUGAACUACACAGACGAAGACACACUGUCAAGUCCUUGUGAGCCUGCUUUUCUAGUAGAAGAUGCUUGGUAGCAACAUUCCCCAUAUUUUUUGAUCACACCUUGUAAAGACACUCAGGAAAGAAGACUUUCAGAAUUGCUUCAGGAAACGGCAAGAACGAUGGGAUGACAGUGCAGUGAGAAGGAAUGCUUUGAGAAGUUAAAGCAUCCAAGAAACGGCAAGAUGGCAGUUUUGCAAAAAUACCCAGUUUCCUGUUUUCAUCGCGUCCUUGAUCAUUUUCUCAGCGAUGGGUCCUUGUCCCUGCCCCAGGGAAAUGGACUGCACUCUGCAUUGAACAACAAUAAAAGACUGUUUUAUGCCAUUCUCAAGCAAUGCAGAUAGUCUGAAAAAUGCAAACAAAGUAUGAGAAACUCUUGCCCAGAUUACACAAGCCUUUAAUACUAAUUUGGAUAGAUGUGCAAACAGUUUUCAUAUUUUUAAAGACAUUUUUACUGUAAUCCACACAUAGAAAAGUGCAAGAACCAAACAUACAGCUCUAUGAAUGAUCACAAAUAAAUAUCUAUGGUUGAGAAGAAAACUUUGCUGACAUCCAGAGACAUGUCGCCCAUGUCUCUCUCUGUCCCAAUCAUUUUUCUCUUUCCUUCUUCCCAAAGGUGACCACUGUCCUAAUUUCCAAUAAGCAUUGCAGGUCAGUUUUGAAAAAAAAGCUUGAAAAAAUUAAGUGCAGCGUAUGUACAGAGGAAGUGCACCAGCACUUGUGUAUGGCUUACUGAAGUCUCCCAGAGUAAAUGUGCAGUGGUUCCAUUAUUCAGACCAAAAUACAGGCCAUGGCUGCAUCCUUACCAUCAGCAUCCAUCUGAUCCUCAAAGGCAAGAACAAUGUAGAAUUCUAACACUACAGAUUAAUUUUUGAAUUUUAUAGGAAUGAAUCACAUAGUGCAUAUUAUUUUCUAUUAUCUAUCAAUCAACAUGUUUUUAGAUUCAUGUCAUUAUAUAGUUAAUUGACUUUCAUUGCUGUAUAAUAUUCCAGUAUAUGACUGUACCACAAUUUAUUCAUCCAUUCUGUUCUUGAUGGAUAUUAUUUCUGGUUGUUGAUUAUUAUACAUAGUGUUUCUGAAAAUAAAAUCAUUUUUGUACAUGUC